rnacentral:rRNA from 1 species
UGCAAGUCGAACGCGAAAGUUCCCUUCGGGGGGCGAGUAGAGUGGCGUCCGGGUGAGUAACACGUAGGUAAUCUACCUUUGGGUGGGGAAUAACAAUCGGAAACGGUUGCUAAUACCGCAUAAUGCAGCGGCACCGCAUGGUGACAGUUGUUAAAGCGGGGGAUCGCAAGACCUCGCGCCUAGAGAGGAGCCUGUGGCGGAUUAGCUAGUUGGCAGGGUAACGGCCUACCAAGGCAACGAUCCGUAGCCGGCCUGAGAGGGCGGUCGGCCACACUGACACUGAAAUACGGGUCAGACUCCUACGGGAGGCAGCAGUCGGGAAUUUUGGGCAAUGGGCGCAAGCCUGACCCAGCAACGCCGCGUGAAGGAUGAAAUCCCUCGGGAUGUAAACUUCGCAAGAAUGGGAAGAAUAAGUAGGGGCUAAUACUCUCUAUGAUGACGGUACCAUUUGUAAGCUCCGGCUAACUCCGUGCCAGCAGCCGCGGUAAUACGGGGGGAGCAAGCGUUGUUCGGAUUUACUGGGCGCAAAGGGCGCGUAGGCGGUCAGUGCAAGUCAGUUGUGAAAUCUCCGAGCUUAACUCGGAAAGGUCAACUGAUACUGCUCGACUAGAGUGCGGAAGGGGCAACUGGAAUUCUUGGUGUAGCGGUGAAAUGCGUAGAUAUCAAGAGGAACACCUGCGGCGAAAGCGGGUUGCUGGGCCGACACUGACGCUGAAGCGCGAAAGCUAGGGGAGCGAACGGGAUUAGAUACCCCGGUAGUCCUAGCCUUAAACGAUGAAUGCUUGGUGUCUGGGGUUAUAAAGUCCCCGGGUGCCGUCGCUAACGCUUUAAGCAUUCCGCCUGGGGGAGUACGGUCGCAAGACUGAAACUCAAAGGAAUUGACGGGGACCCGCACAAGCGGUGGAGCAUGUGGUUAUU